UGCUUAGGGAUCUGCCUUUAGGAGGGGGAUAACCAUUGGAAACGAUGGCUAAUACCGCAUAAUGUCUACGGACCAAAGGGGGCUUCGGCUCUCACCUAGAGAGGAACCUAAGUGAGAUUAGCUAGUUGGUGAGGUAAAGGCUCACCAAGGCGACGAUCUCUAGCUGUUCUGAGAGGAAGAUCAGCCACACUGGAACUGAGACACGGUCCAGACUCCUACGGGAGGCAGCAGUGGGGAAUAUUGCACAAUGGGGGAAACCCUGAUGCAGCCAUGCCGCGUGUGUGAAGAAGGCCUUCGGUU
rnacentral:rRNA from 1 species